CGAAGGGGGCUAGCGUUGUUCGGAAUCACUGGGCGUAAAGGGUGCGUAGGCGGGAUCUUAAGUCAGGGGUGAAAUCCCGAGGCUCAACCUCGGAACUGCCUUUGAUACUGGGGGUCCUUGAGUCCGGAAGAGGUGAGUGGAACUGCGAGUGUAGAGGUGAAAUUCGUAGAUAUUCGCAAGAACACCGGUGGCGAAAGGCGGCUCACUGGUCCGGAACUGACGCUGAGGCACGGACAGCGUGGGAGCAAACAGGAUU
rnacentral:rRNA from 1 species